UACGUAGGGGGCUAGCGUUGUCCGGAAUCAUUGGGCGUAAAGAGCGUGUAGGCGGCUCGGUAAGUCCGCUGUGAAAGUCGGGGGCUUAACCCUCGGAUGCCGGUGGAUACUGUCGGGCUCGAGUACGGAAGAGGCGAGUGGAAUUCCUGGUGUAGCGGUGAAAUGCGCAGAUAUCAGGAGGAACACCUAUUGCGAAGGCAGCUCGCUGGGACGUUACUGACGCUGAGACGCGAAAGCGUGGGGAGCAAACAGG
rnacentral:rRNA from 1 species